rnacentral:lncRNA from 1 species
AGACAGUCUCCUCGUCUCCCUUCCCCCACCUGAGGUCAGCUUGGCAGCCAGGAUCUCAACCACCUUAAGAAGGCAAAGGAAGUGACCCAACAUUGAAGGAAGAGGAUCCUGGUCAUGUGUGUAGAAAUGCAGAAUGCAAAGUGUAAGGCUGCCUCUGGAACCCAGGAGACUGCAUUGGACCCAACACCAUCAUUUCUGCAUGGAGUGGAAGACACUUGCUGAAUGUAGCAUUGGGAAAAUCACAUGGAGAUGGACCUACAUGCCAUCUCAAUGCAAAGCAGGUUUCUCACGGUCACUGAAUUUUCAAGUUCUCCCACCAGGGUGGAUGGGGCAGAGGUGUGACAAAGAGGCAGUGUCUGCAGACAGAGAUCAAAAUGAAAGUUUGAAAGCCAUCUGAUGAGCUUAUUUGAAGAGGC